GAUGAACGCUAGCGGCAGGCUUAACACAUGCAAGUCGAACGGCAGCACAGGUAGCAAUACUGGGUGGCGAGUGGCGCACGGGUGCGUAACGCGUAUGCAACCUACCUCUAUCUGGGAGAUAGCCCGAAGAAAUUCGGAUUAAUACCCCAUAAUAUAUGUCUUUCGCAUGUUAGACAUAUUAAAGCUUUGGCGGAUAGAGAUGGGCAUGCGUGACAUUAGCUAGUUGGUAAGGUAACGGCUUACCAAGGCUACGAUGUCUAGGGGGUCUGAGAGGAUUAUCCCCCACACUGGUACUGAGACACGGACCAGACUCCUACGGGAGGCAGCAGUGAGGAAUAUUGGACAAUGGGCGAAAGCCUGAUCCAGCCAUGCCGCGUGCAGGAAGACGGCCCUAUGGGUUGUAAACUGCUUUUAUAUGGGAAUAAACCUCCGAACGUGUUCGGAGCUGAAGGUACCAUACGAAUAAGGAUCGGCUAACUCCGUGCCAG
rnacentral:rRNA from 1 species